rnacentral:rRNA from 1 species
GGUUAAGCGACUAAGCGUACACGGUGGAUGCCCUGGCAGUCAGAGGCGAUGAAGGACGUGCUAAUCUGCGAUAAGCGCCGGUAAGGUGAUAUGAACCGUUAUAACCGGCGAUUUCCGAAUGGGGAAACCCAGUGUGACUCGUCACACUAUCAUUAACUGAAUCCAUAGGUUAAUGAGGCGAACCGGGGGAACUGAAACAUCUAAGUACCCCGAGGAAAAGAAAUCAACCGAGAUUCCCCCAGUAGCGGCGAGCGAACGGGGAGGAGCCCAGAGCCUGAAUCAGCAUGUGUGUUAGUGGAAGCGUCUGGAAAGGCGCGCGAUACAGGGUGACAGCCCCGUACACAAAAGCGCAUGUGCUGUGAGCUCGAUGAGUAGGGCGGGACACGUGGUAUCCUGUCUGAAUAUGGGGGGACCAUCCUCCAAGGCUAAAUACUCCUGACUGACCGAUAGUGAACCAGUACCGUGAGGGAAAGGCGAAAAGAACCCCGGCGAGGGGAGUGAAAAAGAACCUGAAACCGUGUACGUACAAGCAGUGGGAGCACAGGUUUACCUGUGUGACUGCGUACCUUUUGUAUAAUGGGUCAGCGACUUAUAUUCUGUAGCAAGGUUAACCGAAUAGGGGAGCCGGAGGGAAACCGAGUCUUAAUUGGGCGUUAAGUUGCAGGGUAUAGACCCGAAACCCGGUGAUCUAGCCAUGGGCAGGUUGAAGGUUGGGUAACACUAACUGGAGGACCGAACCGACUAAUGUUGAAAAAUUAGCGGAUGACCUGUGGCUGGGGGUGAAAGGCCAAUCAAACCGGGAGAUAGCUGGUUCUCCCCGAAAGCUAUUUAGGUAGCGCCUCGUGAACUCAUCUCCGGGGGUAGAGCACUGUUUCGGCUAGGGGGCCAUCCCGGCUUACCAACCCGAUGCAAACUGCGAAUACCGGAGAAUGUUAUCACGGGAGACACACGGCGGGUGCUAACGUCCGUCGUGAAGAGGGAAACAACCCAGACCGCCAGCUAAGGUCCCAAAGUCAUGGUUAAGUGGGAAACGAUGUGGGAAGGCCCAGACAGCCAGGAUGUUGGCUUAGAAGCAGCCAUCAUUUAAAGAAAGCGUAAUAGCUCACUGGUCGAGUCGGCCUGCGCGGAAGAUGUAACGGGGCUAAACCAUGCACCGAAGCUGCGGCAGCGAACGUAUCACUUAAAGCGAUUCAGCGGGUUACGAUUGACGGAGCGAAGCGACGUCAAAGCGUAUACAAAGUCGAGUCGGUUUAAGGAUACGUUCGUUGGGUAGGGGAGCGUUCUGUAAGCCUGCGAAGGUGGCCUGUGAGGGUUGCUGGAGGUAUCAGAAGUGCGAAUGCUGACAUAAGUAACGAUAAAGCGGGUGAAAAGCCCGCUCGCCGGAAGACCAAGGGUUCCUGUCCAACGUUAAUCGGGGCAGGGUGAGUCGACCCCUAAGGCGAGGCCGAAAGGCGUAGUCGAUGGGAAACGGGUUAAUAUUCCCGUACUUGGUGUUACUGCGAAGGGGGGACGGAGAAGGCUAUGUUGGCCGGGCGACGGUUGUCCCGGUUUAAGCGUGUAGGUGUGUGUUCCAGGUAAAUCCGGUUCACUUUAACACUGAGGCGUGAUGACGAGGCACUACGGUGCUGAAGCAACAAAUGCCCUGCUUCCAGGAAAAGCCUCUAAGCAUCAGGUAACAUCAAAUCGUACCCCAAACCGACACAGGUGGUCAGGUAGAGAAUACCAAGGCGCUUGAGAGAACUCGGGUGAAGGAACUAGGCAAAAUGGUGCCGUAACUUCGGGAGAAGGCACGCUGACACGUAGGUGAAGUGAUUUACUCAUGGAGCUGAAGUCAGUCGAAGAUACCAGCUGGCUGCAACUGUUUAUUAAAAACACAGCACUGUGCAAACACGAAAGUGGACGUAUACGGUGUGACGCCUGCCCGGUGCCGGAAGGUUAAUUGAUGGGGUCAGCGCAAGCGAAGCUCCUGAUCGAAGCCCCGGUAAACGGCGGCCGUAACUAUAACGGUCCUAAGGUAGCGAAAUUCCUUGUCGGGUAAGUUCCGACCUGCACGAAUGGCGUAAUGAUGGCCAGGCUGUCUCCACCCGAGACUCAGUGAAAUUGAACUCGCUGUGAAGAUGCAGUGUACCCGCGGCAAGACGGAAAGACCCCGUGAACCUUUACUAUAGCUUGACACUGAACAUUGAGCCUUGAUGUGUAGGAUAGGUGGGAGGCUUUGAAGUGUGGACGCCAGUCUGCAUGGAGCCGACCUUGAAAUACCACCCUUUAAUGUUUGAUGUUCUAACGUGGACCCGUUACCCGGGUUGCGGACAGUGUCUGGUGGGUAGUUUGACUGGGGCGGUCUCCUCCUAAAGAGUAACGGAGGAGCACGAAGGUUGGCUAAUCCUGGUCGGACAUCAGGAGGUUAGUGCAAUGGCAUAAGCCAGCUUGACUGCGAGCGUGACGGCGCGAGCAGGUGCGAAAGCAGGUCAUAGUGAUCCGGUGGUUCUGAAUGGAAGGGCCAUCGCUCAACGGAUAAAAGGUACUCCGGGGAUAACAGGCUGAUACCGCCCAAGAGUUCAUAUCGACGGCGGUGUUUGGCACCUCGAUGUCGGCUCAUCACAUCCUGGGGCUGAAGUAGGUCCCAAGGGUAUGGCUGUUCGCCAUUUAAAGUGGUACGCGAGCUGGGUUUAGAACGUCGUGAGACAGUUCGGUCCCUAUCUGCCGUGGGCGCUGGAGAACUGAGGGGGGCUGCUCCUAGUACGAGAGGACCGGAGUGGACGCAUCACUGGUGUUCGGGUUGUCAUGCCAAUGGCACUGCCCGGUAGCUAAAUGCGGAAGAGAUAAGUGCUGAAAGCAUCUAAGCACGAAACUUGCCCCGAGAUGAGUUCUCCCUGAGACUUAGAGUCUCCUGAAGGAACGUUGAAGACGACGACGUUGAUAGGCCGGGUGUGUAAGCGCAGCGAUGCGUUGAGCUAACCGGUACUAAUGAACCGUGAGGCUUAACCUU